AACUCACAUCACGUAUCCCUCAUGCACGAUUUGCGCCGCUCCUCUUCUUAGCCCUCCAAAAUCUCCCUUUCACGAAUCACCCAACUCUUCUCUUCUUAGCCCAUCAACCUUGCGAAAUUCAUCUCCCUUGAUCGAAAGCUCUUGCUACUGUUUAGUUGUUAGAAAAUGACUCAGUCUGAGGUUGUUGAUUGUCCUCUUGAUGACGAGGAUGAUGACAUCCUUGAUGCGUAUAUGACGAAUUUGGAAAAUAAUAAGGUUCUGUUGAUGUUAAUGUAGGCAGUGGACAUGGAAGGAAUAAGGAUGGUAGUGAUGGCAGUGGAGAUGAUUUCAGUGGUAGUGAUGGCAGUGUUGAUGGAGAUGGCAGUGUUGAACUUUAUGAUAGCGGAGAUGAUGGUGGCAGUGGUGCUUACGGCAUUGGUGGUGAUAUUGGCAGUAAUGAAGACCUCAAUUUGGAGUACGAAUCAGAGAAUGAGGACAUCUUGUUGUAUGAAGAUGAUAGUGAAGAUGGAAUUAGGAGACGUAGGAUAGCAAAUCCAAAGUUCAAUCCUAAGGUUACUUCAGAAGAGUCGAUAUUUGAACUUGGAAUGGAGUUUACCGAUCUAAAAGAGUUUAAGAAUGUUGUCAAGAGUUAUGCAGUUGAUGGUGGCUAUCAGAUACAAUUGGCGAGGAAUGAGAAGACAAGGUGCCAAGCAAAGUGCGAUGAGGGUUGCCCGUGGAUGAUAUGAUGUUCCCAAAUUAAAGGGGAGAGUACUUUUCAAAUCAAGACAUAUGUGUAACAAAAGACUUGAAAACAGACAAGCUGAUAGCACAUGGUUAUCAAUGAGGUUGGUAGACAAGAUAAGGGAGGAACCAAAGAUAAGUGUUGCAGAUUUGGUGACAUAUGCAAAGGAACACAUGUCUUUGGCAAUUUCAAGGACACAUGCAUAUAAAGCAAAGAAGAAAGCCCUGGAAAUCAUUGAAGGGAAGCAUAAAGAACAAUACAGUAAGCUGAGAAGUUACAUAUCCGAGGUUCUAAGGACCAACGUUGGUAGCACAUGCAACUUACUAGUGGAUAGGGAUAGACCAGAGGACCCUGUAGUUUUCAAGCGGGUAUAUAUUUGCUUGGCUCCCUUGAAAAGUGGAUUCCUUGCAUGAUAUAGGCCUUUAAUUGGUCUAGAUGGGUGUUUUUUGAAAACAGUUUAUGGUGGUCAAUUACUUACUGCAGUGGCACACGACAACGCUAAUGGGAUUUUUCCCAUAGCAUGGCCGGUUGUUGAAAGGGAGAAUGGAGAUUCAUGGGAAUGGUUCUUAAGAAAGCUAUUACUGGAUAUUGGAGGGUUUGAUAGGAGGAGAUGGUGCUUCAUUUCUGAUAGACAAAAGGUAUUACAUUUGACACUCUUUUUUAAUGUUAUACAUUCUAUAUUAAUGUACUUACAUUGUGAAUGUGAAACAAACAUCAUGUACAUGUAGGUCAUGGGACUUGUCUGGCAUACCAUGCACUCAUACUGUGGCUAUGAUUGAAUGGCUUCACAAAGAUCCGGCAAACUAUGUGCAUCAAGCAUAUACAAGGGAAACAUAUUUUAGGGUGUACCGACACAACGUGGAACCAACAAAUGGAGAGAACUUAUGGAUUGCUCCUGGUGGUGAUACCAUCAUACCUCCUCCAAUGAAAGUACUAGUUGGAAGACUAACAAAAAAGAGAAGGAGAGAACAUGAUGAGCCUAAGACAAGCAGUUGACUGAGAAGAAGGUAUCCAAAGAUAAAAUGUGGCAAAUGUGGAGAAGUAGGUCGCAAUAGAAGAGGAUGUCAUAAUCCUGCAAUAUCUCAGAAAUGGAAAGCCCUGCUGGAAGAGGGGGAGUUAGGGGCAGGGGUUGUGGUAGAGGUGGUAGAAGGGUUGGUCCAAUGAGAGGGGGUGGCAGUGGUAGGGGCUCUACUACAUCUACUGCAGCAUUUGAUGGAUCAACCAGCCUUAGAAAAAGGACAAAAUCAAAUGCUAGGAGGAUGCCAAACAUUGUUUCUACAAUUCAGGGUGCAACUAGCAGCUCCAGGUACACUGUCAUGUUAAAUGCAACUCAGGAGUCCCUCACAAGAGCAAGGAAGUAGUCAUAAUGUUAGGGUCGUGCUAACUAGAUUAGUAGAUGUUUUGGAACUGGAUAUUUUUGCAUCUGCCUAUGUAUUUGCAGCUGGUUAUCUUUUCAACAAAAUGAUGCUUUUGUUUUUUGUU